rnacentral:rRNA from 1 species
CUUUUUGUAGAACGGGCCAACGAGUUACGUUAAGUAGCAAGGUUAAGCACUUAAGGUGCGGAGCCGUAGCGAAAGCGAGUUUUAACUGAGCGUUCAGUUAUUUGACGUAGACCCGAAACCGGGCGACCUACCCAUGAGCAGGAUGAAGCGAAAGUAAAAUUUCGUGGAGGUCCGAACCCACGAGCGUUGAAAAGCUCGGGGAUGACUUGUGGGUAGCGGUGAAAUUCCAAUCGAGCCCGGAGAUAGCUGGUUCUCCCCGAAAUAGCUUUAGGG